GACGAACGCUGGCGGCGUGCUUAACACAUGCAAGUCGAACGGUGAUGCUCCAGCUUGCUGGAGUGGAUCAGUGGCGAACGGGUGAGUAACACGUGAGCAACCUGCCCCAGACUCUGGAAUAAGCGCUGGAAACGGCGUCUAAUACUGGAUACGAAACUGGCCCGCAUGGGCAUGGUUUGGAAAGUUUUUCGGUUUGGGAUGGGCUCGCGGCCUAUCAGCUUGUUGGUGAGGUAAUGGCUCACCAAGGCGACGACGGGUAGCCGGCCUGAGAGGGCGACCGGCCAACCUGGGACUGGGACACCGCCCCGAACCCUACGGGAGGCAGGAGGGGGGAAUAUUGCACAAUGGGCGAAAGCCUGAUGCAGCGACGCCGCGUGAGGGAUGACGGCCUUCGGGUUGUAAACCUCUUUCAGCAGGGAAGAAGCGAAAGUGACGGUACCUGCAGAAGAAGCACCGGCUAACUACGUG
rnacentral:rRNA from 1 species